UCCAGGACCAUGAUUGAGGACCCCUGUUCAAAGGGUGACAACAAAUCCUCAAACAGUCCUCAUGCAGCAGGAAGACACCAGACAGUGCAUGCACCCAAAACAGGAGACGAUCUAGGACAAAAGAAGAAUCCACAGGAAGCAAAAUGGUUCAGGUAUAAAGACACACACUUGACCUAGAGGCAGAGAAGAGAAUGAAGAGAAAACUGAUAGCUAUUAUGACAGUGCUACACAACCUCUU